rnacentral:rRNA from 1 species
GACGAACGCUGGCGGCGUGCUUAACACAUGCAAGUCGAACGAAGUGGCGAACGGGUGAGUAAUACGUGGGUAACCUGCCCUCCUUUUUGGGAUAAGCCUUGGAAACGGGGUCUAAUACCGAAUAAAGGGGGAUGGGCUCGCGGCCUAUCAGCUUGUUGGUGGGGUGAUGGCCGACCAAGGCGGUGACGGGUAGCCGGCCUGCGAGGGUGACCGGCAACGUGGGAACUGAGAUACGGCCACGGCUGCUACGAGAGGCAGCGAUGGGGGAUAUGGCACAAUGGGCGAAAGCCUGAUGCAGCGGCGCCGCGUGGGGGAUGGAGGCUUUCGGGUUGUAAACCUCUGUCGCUAUCGAGCGGGUAGGUGGAGAAGAAGCGCCGGCUAACUACGUGCCAGCAGCCGCGGUAAUAC